rnacentral:rRNA from 1 species
AGUGGCGGACGGGUGAGUAACGCGUGAGAAUCUGGCUUCAGGAGGGGGACAACAGUUGGAAACGACUGCUAAUACCCCAUAUGUCUACGGAUGAAACGGUGAAUUCCGCCUGAAGAUGAGCUCGCGUCGGAUUAGCUAGUUGGUGAGGUAGAGGCUCACCAAGGCGACGAUCCGUAGCUGGUCUGAGAGGAUGAUCAGCCACACUGGGACUGAGACACGGCCCAGACUCCUACGGGAGGCAGCAGUGGGGAAUUUUCCGCAAUGGGCGAAAGCCUGACGGAGCAACGCCGCGUGCGGGAAGACGGCCUGUGGGUUGUAAACCGCUUUUCUCUGGGAAGAAUAAGUUGACGGUACCAGAGGAAUCAGCAUCGGCUAACUCCGUGCCAGCAGCCGCGGUAAUACGGAGGAUGCAAGCGUUAUCCGGAAUUAUUGGGCGUAAAGCGCCCGCAGGCGGCUUAUCAAGUCUGCUGUUAAAGGUCGGGGCUCAACUCCGGUUAGGCAGUGGAAACUGAUAGGCUAGAGUGUGGUAGGGGUAGAGGGAAUUCCCAGUGUAGCGGUGAAAUGCAUAGAUAUUGGGAAGAACACCAGUGGCGAAGGCGCUCUACUGGGCCACAACUGACGCUGAGGGACGAAAGCUAGGGGAGCGAAAGGGAUUAGAUACCCCUGUAGUCCUAGCUGUAAACGAUGGACACUAGGUGUU